rnacentral:rRNA from 1 species
UGGCGGCGAGUGGCGAACGGGUGAGUAAUAUAUCGGAACGUACCCAAGAGUGGGGGAUAACGUAGCGAAAGUUACGCUAAUACCGCAUACGAUCUAUGGAUGAAAGUGGGGGAUCGCAAGACCUCAUGCUCCUGGAGCGGCCGAUAUCUGAUUAGCUAGUUGGUAGGGUAAAGGCCUACCAAGGCUACGAUCAGUAGCUGGUCUGAGAGGACGACCAGCCACACUGGAACUGAGACACGGUCCAGACUCC